GAAAUCGUAAUACCUAGUGAAGGGAGCAAACGAGCUAGUGCGGGUAGUGGAAGAGCUAUUGAGUGUAGGGGAAGAACUAUGCGGUAUUUCGACGCGAGAGAUUUCCACGCACUAACGCCAUCCAUGCUUAAUAGAUGCUUAAUCGAUGAACUCUCUGUCACACAUACGCACCUUACUUGAGCCGAGUCCUGAUGUUAAGGUCAAUCCAGGUUUUUUACCGUUAUCUUUGUGCUCGCUAUCACUUAGAUGUAUAAUAUCUGCGGUGUAAGUGAGAGCUAUUAUACUCAUACCGUGUAAUGCACUGGACAUGUUAUGUGUAUCAUCGAUAGCGAGUUUUCUCGUGUGUAAUUAAACUGGACAACGAUCUUAUUCUCACA